UCCUGUAAAUAUUGAGAUUUCUUACAAUUAAUUAGCAUAAUUAUAUUGCCAUUUUUGAAAGAAUAUCAAUAAUUAAAAGAUGACUCAGAGAAUCAUGUCAACUUGAAAGGUUUUCACGUGUUAUCUGGAGUUCAGCCUCACAGACAUGUCUAAAUUACCUGACAGAUUAAUAUAAUAUUAACAGCAUGCAUCUCAUUUGACUUUUUUCUUUAUUAAACACAGCACUUCUCUUAACUCUAUUGGAAAGGCAACGAGAAUGAAUGUUCAUUUUUUCUUAACAAAUUUUUUUUUUUUUAAAUUUCUGAAUUCUCGGUUCCUAGUAGUGAGGAACGGCAGAAUGUAAUAAUUCAUCACCUGUACGCAUUACUCUUUUUCCGGUAAACCUGAACUUUUUACAUCAGGUUACAUGAAGGAAUUGUAGUAUUGGUUUAAGUGAUGAAUUGGCUGCAUGUGUUGCUUAAGUUGGUAUUUCUGUUUAACACAUAAAGGCAGAUAGGCCUAUCUGCCGGCUGCUAAGAGAGAUUGUAUGUACAGCUUUCAGGGCCUUCACGUUGUUUGUGUCACUCAAACCAAGAUCAUAUUAACUUCACUUUGUUUACCAACAUUCAGAAACAAUUAGGACUACAUUUCAAUCAUCUUUGGAAUGCUAAAAAGUCAUCCUUUUCUUCUUAAUCACAAAAUUCGUACAGAAGCAAUUAAAGCAAGAGUUGUCUUUCUUGAAAUAUACUAAUUAUUCAAAACUGACACAAACUUCACCCGAUCACGUUUACAUGCAGACUCCAAAGUGCUCACUGCUGCAAGCUAUAUAGUAAAUUAAUUUUCAAAUUAAUCUAUGAAAGCAUUUGCUGACAAUUGUAUUUCUGGUGGAGAAAAAAUCCAGAGGAUGCCGGAGGUUGCUGGCAUUAUCUAGAGAUAAACUAAAGUAGUGGAAAAAUCUGUAUCUAUGUGAUGUACUGUAAAUCAAGUGUGAAAAAGACAAAUAGACCUCAAAGUCAUGCUGAAGGGGUUAGAGUAGCAUCUGAUUCACAUGGGCUCUUUACAUUUCAUGAUGUCUUUUCCUUACAGUGUUUAGGGGAAAAAAUCAAGGAAACUCAAAGGUAAAAAUUGUCUAGUUGUAAGUGGGUAAUGAGGAAAAUGUGCCAUAUAUCAUGUACACCAUCAACCAAACUCAUCUCCUCCCUUCUUAAACUUGAAAACAUUCCAUUUCUGUAUUUUUUUUGUCUCUCUUUUUUGGUGAUUAUGUAUUCUUUCAUCAAUGUUUUCUGUUAAAUGAUUUUGUUGGUACAGAGUGAAGGUCAUCUGGUAGAAUCGAUAUUUAUACUUUCCGAGUGGCACCACUGUCCAGAUCAUGCAGGGUUCAAAUCUCUGUCCAAUCAGUGCAUGGCCCAAAAUCGGGGUUCAAAGCUCUGCUGUCAGCCCCUGAAACUCAAUGAUGAAAAUGGCUGCCAAGGGAUAAAAAUCAAGGGUUGUUUGGCUUUGGGGGCAAAAAGCAUUAAGGAGGGAGGAAGGUAAUGGAGGAAGGUGACUGUCAGCUGGUUUUAAUCACUUGUAAACAGCUCAGUUGGUAGAGCACUAGCAGUAGAGCACCUGUAAAGUUAGAUUCACCCUGAGCAAAAGUGUUGCAUUUUCUCCCAUAAUUCUGUAACGGGAAGGGAGAAAAUGCAACGGACCAGACUGGGAUUCGAACCCGGGCCCCCUGAAGCUCUAGUCAACUGAGCUAUCUGGCCACCUCCAAUCGAAUCCGGCUGACCGCUACACUCCUCCCUCCUUAAAUGUCUUCACGCUGAAGACAUCAACCCAGGAUCUUUAUCCCCUGCAUGGAUGACAUUUUCACCUGUCAGUUCCAGGGGCUGGUCAUGGCACCAAAUGUAACAGGAAAGGAGAAAAUGCAACAGACAAGACUGGAAUUCGAACCUGGGCCCUGAAUCUCUAGUCAGGUGCUCUACCAACUGAGCUAUCUGGCCACCGGCGAUCGAAUCCGACUGACUGCUACAAUUCUAUAACUGUUACAGGUGGGAGAAAAUGCAACAGCCCAGACCAGGAUUCAAACCUGGGUCCCCCGAAUCUCCUGUCAGGUGCUCUAACAACUGAGCCUGGCCACUGGUGAUUGGGUCUGUCUGACUAUAACACAUUCCUUCUUACUUUAAUGUCUUCACACUUGAAGACAUCAAUCCAGGAUCUUUAAUAUCCCUUGGCAGGAAUUUUCAUUCAUCUGAGUUUGCUGGUCACGGCACCAAAUGUAACAGGAAAGGAGAAAAAGAAAAUGGACCAGACCAGGAUUUGAACCUGGCAGGUCCCUUGAAUCUCUAUAGUCAGGUUUUCUACUAACUGAGCUAUCUGACCACUAGCAAUCGAACCUGUCUGACCGCUACAAUUCAAUCCAUUGAAUCAGCAGUCUUGUUGGAUACUCUGAUAGGUAUACAUGGAUGCUAUAAUACUAAUACAAGUACAUUCAACCUUUUGUUUUAUACAUGUAAACGUAAGUACCUGUAGUCUUGUAAGUUAUGUGGACCUCAGAAAAAAAGGGGCGGUGUAAGUAAGGAAUCUACAAAGCUUCUGCCACACAGGAAGUCAAUUAUACUAAUCAAAAGAAGUACCUUCAGACAUGUGUUUUAGGAAGUCAAAACGAUCUAACAAGCAUGUCUUCACAGUACGUCAAAUUGGAAACAACCUAUGUUGUAGCAAGAUACUUUGAAAAUUGAUGCAGAGUGCAUGUCAGGAGAACAAGCUCCAGAGGCGGGAGACAUUUGGUAAGGUGACCCAUCGAGGGGUGAAUGUCACCUAAUAUCUAUGCUCAAAAGAAAGUGAAACAUUCCAGAUGAAGAUGGGAUUAGUUCCACCCUGGAAGUCAUGAGAGCUGUUUGAUCCCGAUAGUGCAGAACAAAAGGGGAGGUAAGGCUAUCAGAAUUGACCUGGAUUUCUGGGGAAUGUGAACAGGGAAAGAUUCUUGUUUGAUGUGGGUGAAGUUCAGACACGGCAUGGUAACUCUAUGAGAGGGUUCACUGCAUCUCCAGGAAACAGGUUGCUCAACAUGAUUAACUAGACGGUGGCUGCAGGCCUAUCGAAGAAAACUAGGAGAUUUCCAUCAGAUUGAUCAUUUGUGGCUGGAGUUGUUCAAGUUGAUGAAGACCGAUAACAAACAGUAGCAAAUUGUGACAAUCUACAGCCAACCAGUAUCUGAGGGAGCAGCCAUUAAUUCAGGGAGCAUUGAUUUAUCUUGGUUGUCACUAAACACAUUAAGCAGUA